CUUGGCAUUCCAAAGGCUAGAUAAAUUGAUUUAGCAGUUUAUAAUAUAUAUAUAGUGAAUAAUAUAUUUUGAGUGAGUGACUUUUCGGGGAAAUGUUUUUCAAAAUUACAUUCACGUGCGUGACGUCACAGGGAGUCCCCUAGCCUCCGACCAAUAGGCUGAGCUCUAUUUUUAUAACAAGACAGAAAGAGCGCGUCGUAGUCUCGCAUUUGCACACAUUCGUGAACCAAGACUGACACGAAUGUCUAGGAACUACUCGCGCUCCCACUCACGGGAACACUAUCCUCCAAGUCAGCACUCAAGUCACAAGUCAUCAUCAAAUAAA